UAGUAUCCAGAAGUUUUCUCUAAGACUAUGGUCUUUGAAUUCUUUUUUUAUUCUUCUCUCAGCAGCGACACUUUUAAGCUGAACCCAUGGCAUGUGCAAGCUGCUAUCAGAUCCUUAAUCCAUUGUGCCACAAGAGAAAUCCUAUUCAUUCUCAAAAGGAAGGAUAUUCUGACACAUGCUACAGCGUAAAUGAACCUUGAAGACAUUGUGCUAAGAAAAAUAAGCCAGACACAAAAUGACAUAGGGAAUAGUUCAUUUUAUUUGAGGUAACUAGAGUAAUCAGAUUCAUAAGAAGAGAGAGUAAAAUGUGAUUGCCAGUGUUUGGGAGAAGGUAUAAUGGGAGUAAUUAAUGGAUAUAGCAUUUCAGUUUGGAAAGGAGAAAAAUUCUGAAGAUGAAUGGUGGUGAUCGUUGAAUAACAAUGAGAAUGUCCUUAAUGCCACUGAAUUUUACACUUAAAAUGGUUAAAGUGGUAAAUCUUAUGCUAUAUAUAUUUUAUCACAGUUUUUUAAAAGGCAACUAAUAGUCUUUCUGUGUCACCAAAAAGAUGCAACAAUAGACACUGUCUUGGGUAUCUAGACUUAUCUAGACUUUGCUCUCCUCCACCAGUGAAUGCAUAAUUCCUGUGAUUGUAUUCACAGAUGUAGUGGAAAAAGAGCACAUAUAAUGUGGUUGAUUCAUUGGUGAAAAUAGCCAUGGGAGAUGAGAUACUAGACUCACAAGUCAUCUUUGUUGAACCAGACAAUCUUCUAGUAAAUCCUCCUUUCUUUAUUCUUCCUGACUGGGUAGUAGGAGAAUGGCACAUACUGGGAACCUUCUUUGCUUACCAAAGUUCUUCCAGGAGUGUGUUGGAUAAGAAUCUCUACCCCUGAAUCUUACCAUCUGUGACAAGAGAGAACGCGUGUGUCCCUGAUGUGUGGGUGCCAUACGUCUAGGUGUACAUUGAUACAUAAGUGACAAGGCUAAUUAUAUUCUCUCUCCUUGUGAUGCGGAAUUUGUAUGGAAAGACACAGGGCUAAACUUCCACUGAAAUUAGAUCAUUUUAAGGGCUGCAUAAUACAGAAUACAUCAAGAACUCCUCUUUCUGAGGUUUUUGGAGCUAUACAUGUUCUGCCUUCCUUCAGCUUUUCUGUAGCAGUUUAUUAUUAAUUCUGUUACUUACCUUAGUUUACUUCCUCAAAAUGAGUGGAUAAAUUUAUUUCUUCAGCUUACAAUAAAAUAAAAAAAACCAACAUAAGUGGCUUACUCUGAGAUUGGGCUUUAAUAUUUUACAGUCUUUGAUUGCUAGAGGUAGGGUCUACCCUAAAUGUUCUAGAAUUUUUCCACAAUAUCUCUAAGGAGGAAGCAGCGAAAAAAUAUUUCAACCUGAGAGAAUCACUUUGGUGUAUAUUCUUGGCCAUGUACAGGUGUGGGCACCUAUCCUUUGUUUUUGAGGUCAUCCUGAUCAUUGGUAAAGGCAUCCACGUGCAAAUGUGAAAUUUUGAAAUAUAAAUUUAAAAAGUUUAAUAUGCCAGCUUCUGGUCUCAAGCACAUGCAGGAAAAUAAAUUCAUUGUAUCGAACCAUUCGUGGGCUAACCAAACUAUAAAUCAGAAUGCGUGUGUAAUUGAGCACAAUAAACUUUUUUCCCCCUCAGCAUUAUGUAAAAAAACCUAAAAACUGGAGGGAAAAAAAGCACACAUAGAAAUUGUAUUUAGGUACCUGAGUGAAAAAGACAUAUAGCAAAUUUAUCAAAGAAAACAGAGAAGUCAUACUGGGGAGUAGAAUGAAAGCAGACAUCUGGUGUUACUGCCUGUCUUCCUUAUGUCUAAUGGCAUAUUUAAAAUGUGGUUUUACUUAACAUAAGCUCUUGUUUUCUUUUUUCCCUGAAUAUUUUUACGCAAUAUAGUUGAAUUUCUUCUUCAUGUGUUUAGUGUAAAAAAAAAUCCAUCUUCUAUUAGAAUUUAAUAUUUAUUUGGUUGCAGUUUUUUUUUAAUGACAGGUGAUCUUAUGGGGAGACUCCUCUUUCAUAAGAAAGAUGUUAUUGUUCAGAAGCAUAAAAUAUAUGCAAUUCUAAAGUCCUUGCCUAUAUAUUGAAAUAAAAACAAACAUUCCUUGA
rnacentral:lncRNA from 9 species